rnacentral:rRNA from 1 species
CCUACGGGUGGCAGCAGUGGGGAAUAUUGCGCAAUGGGCGAAAGCCUGACGCAGCGACGCCGCGUGAGGGAUGAAGGUUUUCGGAUCGUAAACCUCUGUCAGCAGGGAAGAACGGUCACUGUGCUAAUCAGCAGUGAAUUGACGGUACCUGCAAAGGCAGCACCGGCUAACUCCGUGCCAGCAGCCGCGGUAAUACGGAGGGUGCGAGCGUUAAUCGGAAUUACUGGGCGUAAAGCGCUCGUAGGCGGUAUGUCAAGUCAAGGGUGAAAUCCCCGCGCGCAACGUGGGAACUGCCUUUGAAACUGGCAAACUGGAGUGUGUGAGAGGAUAGUGGAAUUCCAGGUGUAGGAGUGAAAUCCGUAGAUAUCUGGAGGAACAUCAGUGGCGAAGGCGACUAUCUGGAACAUAACUGACGCUGAGGAGCGAAAGCGUGGGUAGCAAACAGGAUUAGAUACCCUGGUAGUC